UAAAUCCUGGUAUAUACAAAGUAAUUUAUAAGACAGUUGUUUCAGAAGGAGGAGGGAUAGUAAAUGCACCCCAUAUUCACCUCAGCCUAGGCCCUUUGCGUGGUCUGUAUUGUGAAUGGGGGUACAUGA